AACAUUGAAAGGGGAACUCGCUCUCAACACGUGAUUGUCUCGAGCCCUGCGAACUGUCCCCGAGCAGUCCAGGAGCAUCUUCCCAGUGCCCACGCUGUGUUGAUCCAGAGGAGACUGGUCAACACCGUCCCCCUCAACUGUUGACAACUAGGAACCAAAGGACCGUUGCCAGACAUGGGUCAGGACAACCAGUUGCUUUUCUCUUGACAUGGGAUCAACUCCCCGGGAACACGUGAAAUGGCCUGGAACUGGCAGGAGGUGCAGAUGCUAGAAUGAUCUCAGUGGCCACAAAUGAGCCAUCCAGAGGCUGGAGAUGGGGUGGUCUGAGUGGUUCCUGAGAGGCUCCUGAAGCACUCAGAGCAAUGACUGGGUUCUACGAGUUGGUCUUUAAAGGAUCUCAAGAGGCUGACCGUGACUCUUUUGGUUGAUUUACUCCUGAGGUUCCCAUUGGCUGGCUAUCUCCGAACAGCCUCAUGGUAAUAUAACAAAGCAGCACACCUCUUUUAAAGAAGCAGCUUAGGGUGCUGAACAGUCACAAAAUUAGUGAAAGCAGUUAAAUCCUCA